rnacentral:sRNA from 1 species
UCAGUGCCCAUCGCGGGAAUGAUCGGAGA